AUGAACGCUAGCUACAGGCUUAACACAUGCAAGUCGAGGGGCAGCAUGAAGUUGCUUGCAAACUUGAUGGCGACCGGCGCACGGGUGAGUAACGCGUAUCCAACCUGGCCCGCAGUAGGGAACAGCCCGGCGAAAGUCGGAUUAAUGCCCUAUGUCUCCUUUGCAGGCAUCCAAUGAGGAAGAAAGAUUUAUCGCUGCGGGAUGGGGAUGCGUCUGAUUAGCUUGUCGGCGGGGUAACGGCCCACCGAGGCGACGAUCAGUAGGGGUUCUGAGAGGAAGGUCCCCCCACACUGGUACUGAGACACGGACCAGACUCCUACGGGAGGCAGCAGUGAGGAAUAUUGGUCAAUGGGCGAGAGCCUGAACCAGCCAAGUAGCGUGCAGGACGACUGCCCUAUGGGUUGUAAACUGCUUUUAUGCGGGGAUAAACUUCAGCACGUGUGCUGUUUUGCAGGUACCGCAUGAAUAAGGACCGGCUAAUUCCGUGCCAGCAGCUGC
rnacentral:rRNA from 1 species